UACGUAGGGUGCGAGCGUUAAUCGGAAUUACUGGGCGUAAAGCGUGCGCAGGCGGUUCGUUAUGUCCGUUGUGAAAGCCCCGGGCUCAACCUGGGAAUGGCAAUGGAAACUGGCGAGCUAGAGUGUGACAGAGGGGGGUGGAAUUCCGCGUGUAGCAGUGAAAUGCGUAGAGAUGCGGAGGAACACCGAUGGCGAAGGCAGCCCCCUGGGCUAGCACUGACGCUCAGGCACGAAAGCGUGGGGAGCAAACAGG
rnacentral:rRNA from 1 species